CGGCAGGCCUAACACAUGCAAGUCGAGCGCACCUUCGGGUGAGCGGCGGACGGGUUAGUAACGCGUGGGAACGUGCCCUUCUCUACGGAAUAGCCAUUGGAAACGAUGAGUAAUACCGUAUACGCCCUUCGGGGGAAAGAUUUAUCGGAGAAGGAUCGGCCCGCGUUAGAUUAGAUAGUUGGUGGGGUAAUGGCCUACCAAGUCUACGAUCUAUAGCUGGUUUUAGAGGAUGAUCAGCAACACUGGGACUGAGACACGGCCCAGACUCCUACGGGAGGCAGCAGUGGGGAAUCUUAGACAAUGGGCGCAAGCCUGAUCUAGCCAUGCCGCGUGUGUGAUGAAGGCCCUAGGGUCGUAAAGCACUUUCGCCAGGGAUGAUAAUGACAGUACCUGGUAAAGAAACCCCGGCUAAC
rnacentral:rRNA from 1 species